rnacentral:tRNA from 1 species
GGGGUUGUGGCUCAGUGGUAAAGCACUUGCCUUGCAUGCAUGAGGCACUGGGUUCGAUCCUCAGCACCA